rnacentral:rRNA from 1 species
AGUGAACGCUGGCGGUAGGCCUAACACAUGCAAGUCGAACGGCAGCACAGUAAGAGCUUGCUCUUACGGGUGGCGAGUGGCGGACGGGUGAGGAAUACAUCGGAAUCUACUUUUUCGUGGGGGAUAACGUAGGGAAACUUACGCUAAUACCGCAUACGACCUACGGGUGAAAGCAGGGGAUCUUCGGACCUUGCGCGAUUGAAUGAGCCGAUGUCGGAUUAGCUAGUUGGCGGGGUAAAGGCCCACCAAGGCGACGAUCCGUAGCUGGUCUGAGAGGAUGGUCAGCCACACUGGAACUGAGACACGGUCCAGACUCCUACGGGAGGGAGCAGUGGGGAAUAUUGGAUAAUGGGCGCAAGCCUGAUCCAGCCAUACCGCGUGGGUGAAGAAGGCCUUCGGGUUGUAAAGACCUUUUGUUGGGAAAGAAAAGCAGCAGGUUAAUACCACGCUGUUCUGACGGUACCCAAAGAAUAAGCACCGGCUAACUUCGUG